GGGGGCUUCCAGGUCAUAGGUAGAUAAGAGACAAAUGGUUGCAUUCUUUUGAGUUUCUGAUUAGCCUCUCCAAAGGAGGCAAUCAGAUAUGCAUUUAUCUCUGUGAGCAGAGAGAUGACUGAUUAGAAUGAGAGGCAGGUUUGCCCUAAGCAGUUCCCAGCUUGACUUUUCCCUUUAGCUUAGUGAUUUUGGGGCCCCAAUAUUUAUUUUCCUUUCUCACAGAACUCUCUUCUAAAUGUAGAAUGUUCUCUUAACAAAUAUAAAAAUGAUGAUAUUAAUACAAUUCUCAAUAGUUGCUCUUACUGCUUUAGUGAUAUGAGAAAACAAAAAUUUAACUUAAAGUCUCAGUAACAUCUGCAUUUACAAGUCUCUGGUCUACCAAAACACCCAUUCACUUAGAAUAGUGCUAGGCCCUGGAGAAACAGCUGGGUCAAGACAUGGCCCUGGCUGGGUGUUGUGGCUCACACCUAGCACUUUCGGAGGCUGAGGUGGGUGGAUUGCUUGAGCCCAGGAGUUCAAGACCAGCCUGGGCAAUUAAACCUUGUCUCUACAAAAAUUAGCUGUGAGUGGUGGCAUGCACCUGUAGUCCCAGCUACUUGGGAGGCAGAGGCAGGAGGAUCAUUUGAGCCCAGGAGGUGGAGGUUGCAGUGAGCUGAAAUUGUGCUAUGGCACUCCAGCCUGGGUGACAGAGUGAGACCCUGCCUCAAAAAAAAAAAAAAAGUAUAUGGCCCUGUUGGUGAGAAGAUCUCACUUUAGGGAGUGUAGACAAAUCAAUUGACUGUAAUGUGUGUGCUGGAUGCUGUAAAAGAGAUGUGUCUUGUGGUAUACAGGGGAGGGGAUGGGCCCUGGAAAAGCCUUCCCUAAGAUGAUGUGUAUGAAAGAACCAGAUCAGAGAAUGGCAGUUCAGGUAGAGGUAGCUCUAUGAGCUGAAUGGUAUGGAGGACCAGAGGAGAUGUCGACUGGAAAUUUCAAGUGGUCUCAAUGAUGCAAACUUGGGGUGUAUUUGCAUAUAUUGAGUUAAAAGUUUGUGUUGGGGAAGAUGGAACAGAAAAUAGGCCUAAAGAGGUAAGUUAAGACUAAUUUGAGAAGGGCCUUGCCAAAUGUCUUUGGUUUUCUAUUCAAUCUAUGGAAAAGCAUCAGAGGCUUUUGAAUGGGAGACCUGCAUGAUCAGAUCUGAUUUAGAAAGAAAAUGGAAAGCGGUGGUGAGGAUGGUUUGUGGUGCAGUGAGAAAACAAUCAGGACAAUCAGUUGAAGGUUUUUGCUGUGACUCAGGUGAGGAAUAAUAAGGACCUGUAUGGCAGAGCUAGUGGUACUUUAAAAAAAAGACAGGUAUUCCAGGUUUUUUAGUUGGCAAGUAGAAUUUUCAUAUGUUAGUGAUGGUCACAGUUUGUAACCUGAGAAUGUUUAUUUGAGCUAUUUUCUAGUUCUUAAUGUUCUUUACUAAAGAAGGACAUCUAAGUCUGUGACUUACUGAUUUUUUUCUAAAGGCAGUAUUUGUUGGCUCACGGAAGUUGCAGAUUGCCUUACAGAGAACUCUGAUUCUGCAAGUUUGAGGGUUUUUUGCAUUUGUUUUUAAACUUCAAAUUUAUUGAGACCUAAUUUACAUACAGUAAAAUUCACCCUAUUUAGUGUAGAGUUCACAGUUUUGACAAACAUAUAUCGUCAAGUAUGUAACUACCACCACAAUCAAGGUAUCAACCUAUAAAGUUCUUUCCUGUGCCUUUGUAGUCAGCUGCCUCCUCUAACCCCCAGCACCUGGCAACCACUGAUGUGAUUUCUGUUCCUAUGGAUUUGCCCUUAUUUACAUAAUAUCACAUAGAUGGAAUCAUACAGUAUGAAACCUUUUGUGUCUGACUUCUUUCACUUAGCAUAGUACUUAUGAGAUUCAUUCAUGUUAAUGCAUGUACCAAUUAUUCACGUUGACUGCUGAGUAGUAUUUCCUUGUAGGAAUAUACCACAAAUUAUUUAUCUUUUCAUUUGUUGAUGGAUGUUUUUAUUGUGUCCACUUUUUAACUGUUGUAAGUAAAGCUGCUGUGAACAUUCAUGUACAAAUGAACACAUCUUUACAUGGACAUAUAAUACUUUUGGGUUAGUACCUAGAGGUUGAAAGUCUAGAUUAUAUGGGAGAUGUAUAUUUAACUUUUUACGAAACCACCAUACUGUUUGUCAUAGCAGUUGUACCAUUGUAGAUUCUCAUCAGUAGUGUAUCAGAGUUCCUCUGUGUGUUUUCAUGGCUUGAUAGUUCAUUUCUUUUUAGUGCUGAAUAGUAUUCCAUUGUCUGGAUAUACCACAGUUUAUCCGUUCACCUACUGAGUGACAUCUUGGUUGCUUCCGAGUUUUAUCAAUUAUGAAUAAUGCUGCCAUAAACACCCCUGUAGAUGUUUUUGUGUGGACAUAAGUUUUCAACUCUUUUGGGUAUAUACCAAGGGAUGCAAUUGCUAGACCAUAUGGUAAAAGUAUGUUUAAUUUUAUAAGAAACCACCAAAGUGCCUUACAAGAUGGCUGUCCCAUUUUGCAUUCCCUCUAGCAGUGAAUGAAAGUUUGUUUUGUUCCACAUCCUUGUCAGCAUUUGGUGUUGUCAGUGUUCUGGAUUUUGGCCAUUCUAAUGGGUGGGUAGUGUUUGCUCGUUAUUGUGAUUUUCACUUCCCUGAUGACAUAUAAUGUGGAACAUCUUUUCAUUUGCAUAUUUGCCAUAUAUCUUCUUUGGUGAGAUGCCUGUUUAAGGUCUGUGGCCCAUAUUUUAGUUAGGUUGUUUGUUUUCUUACUGUUGAGUUUUAAGAGUUCUUUCUGGGUUUUGGAUAACAGCCUUUUAUCAGAUAUGUCUUUUUCAGCUAUUUUCUUCCAGUCAUUGGCUUGUCUUUUCAUUCUCUUGACAUUGUCUUUUGCAGAGCAGAAGUUUUCAAUUUUAAUGAAGUCCAGCUUAUCAAUUCUUUCUUUCAUGGAUUGUGCCUUUGGUAUUUGUAUCUUCUGGAAUUUCUCCUAUAUUAUCUUCUAGGAGUUUUAUACUUUUGCAUUUUACACUUCGGUUUAUUAAUGUUGAAUUAAUUUUUGUGAAGGGCAUAGGGUCUAUGUCUAGAUUCAUUUUUUGCAUGUGAUGGCCAGUUCCAGUGCCAGUUGAAAAUUCUUUGCUCCAUUGAAUUGCCUUUGUUCCUUUUUCAAAGACCAGUUGACUAUAUUUACACAGGUCUAUUUAUGGGCUUUCUAUUCUGUUCCAUUGACUAUUUGUCUAUUGCUAAUACCACACUAUUUUUAUUACUGUAACUUCAUGGUAAGUCCUGAAUUCAGGUAGUGUCAGUCUUCCAACUUUGCUGUUCUCCUUCAAUAUUGUGUUGUCUAUUUUGGGUCUUUUCCCUCUCCAUAUAAACUUUAGAAUUGGUUCGUUGAUAUCCACAACAUAACAUUUCUGGGAUUUUGAUUGGGAUUGCAUUGAAUCCAUAGUUCAAAUUGGGAAGAACUGCUAUCUUGACAAUACUGAGUCUUCCUAUCCAUGAGCAUGGAAUAUCUUUCCAUUAAUUUAGUUCUUUUUUGAUUUCUUUCAUCAGAGUUUUGUAAUUUUAAUUGUACCGAUCUUGUACUUUUUUGUUAGAUUUAUACCUAAGUAUGUUAUUUUUGGAGGUGCUAAUGUCAAUGGGGUUGUGUUUUUAAUUUAUAAUUCCACUUGUUUAUUAUUGGUGUAUAGAUGAGUGAUUAACUUUCAUAUAUUUACUUUGUAUCCUGCAACCUUACUGUAAGUGAUUUUUAGUUCCAGGAGUUCUUUUGUCAGUUCUUUCAGAUUUUCUACAUAGACAAUCAUGCCAUCUGUGAACAAAGACAAUUUUAUUUCUUCCUUUCUAAUCAGUAUAUAUAUAUAUAUAUUUUAAAUCUUACUGCAAAUUAGCUGGGAAUUCAAGCACAGUGUUGAAAAGGAGUGGUGAAAGGCAACAUCCUGGCCUUGUUCUUGAUCUUAGUGGGAAAGCUGCUUGUUUCUCACCAUUAAGUAUAAUGCUAGCUAUAGGUUUUUUGGUACAUAUGUAAUUUUUUUAAUCAAGUAGAGGAAGUUCUCCUCUACUCCUAGUUUACUAAGAGGUUUAUCAUAGAUGGAUGUUGUAUUUUUUUUUCAAGUACUUUUUCUGCAUCUGUUGAUAGGAUCAUGUACUUUUCUUCCUUAGCCUGGAUUACAUUAAUUGUUUUUUGAAUGUUGAAACUUGCAUGCUUGGGGUAAACCUCACUUGGUUGUAGUAUAUAAUUCUUUUUUGGAUUUGAUUUGCUAAUAUUUUUUGAGGAUUUUUACAUCUGUGUUUAUGAGGGAUAUUUGUAGUUUUCUUUUCUUGUGCUAUCUUUGUCUGGUUUUGGUACUGGGGUUAUGCUGGCCUCAUAGAAUGAGUUAGGCAGUAUUUCCUCUACUUCUGUCUUCUGAAAGAGAUUGAGAGACUUGGUAUAAUUUCUCAACCUCAAGUGUUUGGUAGAAUUCACUAGUGAACCCUUCUGGGCUUGGUGUUCUCUGCUUUGGAAGGUUAUUAAUUAUUGGAAGGUUAUUAAUUAUUGAUUCAUCUAUUUUUUCUUGUGUGAAUUUUGGCAGAUUUUUGUCCUUCAAGAAAUUUGUUCGUUUUGUCUAGGUUAUAAACUUUGUGGGCAUGGAGUUGUUCACAGUAUUCCUGAUAAUCCUUUCAGUGUCUCUGGGAUCUGUAGUGAUGUCCCCUCUUUCAUUUCUGAUAUUGGUAAUUUGUGCCCUCUCUCUUUUUUCUCCCUUAGCUUGGCUACAGCCUUAUAGAUUUUAUUGAACUUUUAAAAGAAACAGCUUUUGGCGUCAUUGAUUUUUUUUUCUAUUAAUUUUCUGUUUUUGAUUUUAUUCAUUAUCCUCUAAUUUUUAUUAUUGCUCUACUUUUGCUUACUUUGUAUUUAAUUUGCUCUUUUACUGAUUUCCUAAUGUGGAAGCUUAGAUGAUUGAUUUUAGGGCUUUUUUUAUUCUUUUCUAAUAUAUGUAUUCAGUGCUCUAAAUUUCCAUCUAAGUGCUACUUUCAUUGCAUCCCACACAUUUUAAUAAAUUGGGUUUUCGUUUUCAUCCAGCCCAAAGUACUUUUAUUUUAUUUUUUGAGAAAUGGCCUCACUCUGUCACCCAGGGUUGAGUGCAGUGGCAUGAUCACGGCUCACUGCAGUCUUGACCUCCCAGGCUUGGGUGAUCCUCCCACCUCAGCCUCCCGAGUAGUUGCGACUAUAGGAACGUGUCACUGUGCCCAGCUAAUUUUUGUAUUUUUUGUAGAGGCUGUGUUUCACCAUGUUGCCCAGCUGAUCUUAAACUCCUGAGGUCAAGCCAUCAGCCCGCCUCUGUCUCCCAAAGUUCUGGGAUUACAGGUGUGAGCCACCACACCCAGCCUCAAACUAUUUUUAAAUUUCUUUUGAGAUGUCUUCUUUGACCCAUGAGUUACUUAUUAAUAGAAGUAUGUUGUUUAAUCUCUGUGUAUUUUGAAAUUUCCAGUUAUCUUUGUUAUUGAUUUCUAAUUUAAUUCUACUAUGGUCUGAGAGCAUACCUUAUAUGAUUUCUCUUCUCUUAAAUUUGUUAAGGUAUGCUUUAUGGCUCAGAAUGUGGUCUGUCUUUGGUGAAUGUCCCAUCUGAGCAUAAGACAAAUGAAUUGCCUUUGUGCUUUUAUAAAAAAUCAUUUGUUUUUGUACAUUUAUAUGUGGGUUUACAUCUGGACUUUCUAUUCUGUUCCAUUGAUCUAUUUGUCUGCCUUUAUGCAGUACCACACUGUUGUGAUUACUAUAAUAAUUUUUGGAAUCAGAUAGUGUUAGUCCUUUAACUUUGUUCUUUGAAUCAUAGAUAUUUUGGUUGUCUUAAGUCCAUUUCAUUUCCAUGUGAAUUUUAGAAUAUACAUGUCAAUUUCUACAUAAACCUGCUGGAAUUUUUAUUGUGAUUACACUGAAUCUAUGUGUUAAUUUGAGGACAAUUGACAUCUUAAUAAUACAGUUUCAGCAUCCCAAGCUUGAAAUCCUAAAUACUCCAAAAUCCAAAACUUCUUGAGCACCAACAUGUUGCUCAAAUGAAGUGCUCUUUCUAGAGCAUUUUGGAUUUCAGAUAUUCAGAUUUGGGAUGUUCAACUACUCAGUAUAAAGCAGAUAUUCCAAAAUCCUAAAAAAUUUGAAAUCCAAAACAUUUCUGAUCCCAAGCAUUUUGGAUAAGGAAUACUCAACCUGUAUUAAGUCUUUGAACAUAUCCAUCUCUCCAUGUAUUUAAAUCUUGAACUUUCCUCAGCAAUAUUUUGUAGUAGAGGUUUUUAGCAUUUUGUCAGAUGAUUUGUCUCUUAAAUAUGUCAUAAUUUUGAAGCUAUUAUAAGUGGUAUUUUUAAAAAUACUAAUUACUGGUUAAUUGCUAGUAUGUAGAAAUAAAAUUAAUUUUUAUGUUGAUUGGUAUCUCAGGCAUCAGAAAACUUUUCCUGUAAUGGAUCAGGUAGUAAAUAUUUUAGGCUUUGCGGGCCAUAUGGUCUCUGUUGCAACUACUUAACUCUCCUUUUACAGUAUGAAACCAGCAUAGACAAUAUGUUAAUGAAUGAGUAUCUAUGUUUCAAAACAUUUUAUUUACAGAAACAGAAAGUGGGUUGGGUUUGGCUGUAAGUCGUAGUUUGCCAAACUCUGUUGUUGUAUCCUGCAACCUUGCUAAGCUUGUUAGUCCUAGUAGCUUUUUAAAAAGUAAUAAUUUAUUGAAGUGAAACUCACCUAACAUAAAUGUAACCAUUUUAAAGUGAUAAAUUUAGUGGCAUUUAGUAUAUUCACAGUGUUGUACAGUCACCACCUUUGUCUGGUUCCAAAACAUUUCCAUCACUCCAAAGUAAAACCCCUUACCCAUUAGCAGUUUCCCCCCGUCCCAUUCCCUUCUUCCCCCAGCCCCUGACAACUAGCAAUCUACAUUCUGUAUCUAUAGGCUUAUAUAUUCUAUAUAUGUCAUAUAAAUGGAAUCACACUAUAUGUGACUUUUUGCAUCUGGCUGCUUUUACUACGCUUAAUACUUUGGAGCUUCACUCGUGUUGUAGCAUAAAUCAGUACUUCAUUCCUUUUUAUGGCUGAAUAUUUCAUUUUUAUAUAUACUAUGAUUUGUUUAUCUGCCAUUCCUUGAUGGAGACAUUUGGACUGUUUUCACCUUUUGGUUGUUGUGAAUAAUGCUGCUAUGAACGUGUCUACAUGUGUUUGCUUGAGUACCUGUUUUCAUUCUUGUGGGUAUAUACCUAGGGGUGGAAUUGUGGGAUCAUAUGGUAAUUCUGCAUUUAACUUUCUUUUUUCUUUCUCGAGACAGGGUCUCACCGUCACCCAGGCUGGAGUGUGAUGGUGUGACUAUGGCUAACUGCAGCCUCAGCCUCCUAGGCUCAAGUGAUGUUUCCACCUCAGCCUCCCAAGUAGCUAGGAAAACAGGCAUGUGCCAUUAUACCCAGUUAUUUUUUAAAAAAAAAAAUUGUUGUGGAGAUGGGGUCCCACUGUGUUGCCCAGGCUGGUCGUGAACUUCUGGCCUCAAGCAGUCCUCCUGCCUUGGCCUCCCAAAAUGCAGAGAUUACAGGCAUGAGCUACCACGCCCAGCCUUUUUGAAGUCUAGUAGUGUUUUUUAAUUUUUAAAGAUCACAUCAGAAUUUCUAAACAGAUGAUCACGUCAUCUGUUAGUAAAGAGUUUUACUUCUUUGGUGAUCUGGAUGCCUUUUAUCUCUCUUUCUUGCCUGAUGGCAUUGGCUGGAGACACCAGUAAAAUAGUGUAUGAAAGUGGUGAGAGCAGACCAUGUUUUGCUACUGUUCUUAAGAGGAAAGUAUCCAUGAAGUAUGUAUAAUGCUGGAAGAUAAUUUUUUUGUGUGUGAUGCCCUUUAUUAGGUUGAGGAGGUUCCUUCUAUUUCUAGUUUGCUGAUCUUUUUUUUUUUUUUAAUUCAGAGUGUAUGUUAGAUUUUGUCAAAUGGUUUGUCUGGCAUCUUAAUCACAUGGAUUUUUUCUUUUCCACUAUUGUGAAUUGCAUUGGUUGAUUUGUAAAUGCUAAGUCAAACCUAUAUUCCUGAGAUAAUCCUUUGGUCAUGAUGUAUCUUCCUUUAAUAUAUUAUUAUAUUCUAUUUGCUAAGAUUUUGGUUAGAACUUUUACAUUUAUGUUCAUGAGGGAUAUUAGUGUGCAGUUUUCUUAUAUUUUGUCUAAUUUUGUUAUCAGAAUAAUGAAGACCUCAUGGAAUUAGUUGAGAAGUAUUCCCCCCGCUUCAGCUUUUUUGGAAGUUUCUGUAGAAUUGGCAAAUAACAGAACAGCCUCCCUCAGCCUUAUGCAUAGCUUUGAUUAAUUAAGAAAUGCAGGGUUGGAAAUUUGUGUGCAGUUACUGUGUUCAUACUGCUCUUCAUCAUUUGCCUCACUUCUAUACAUUUUUGGGGACAGCAUUAAAAAAUUCCCCUUCUCUUAGAUUUUCAUGAGGACUUAAAAAACAGCUAACGUGUAUUGAAUGCUUGCUAUAUGGUAGGAGUUGAGCUAAGCAGCUACAUAUAUUUUUCAGAUGUAGAAACAGAUAUAAAGUGAUUAUGGAAUUUUCUCAAAAUCACAGACUUAGUAAAUAAAGAAGCAAGGCUUGAACCCAGAUUUGUUUAUUCCGAAGUUGUAAGACCACUAAGGUCUUAACAGUUAUUAACACUUAGAAUUCAUACAAGACAUGAGUAGUCAUGUAUAUGCUGUGAGUUUUUUUACUUGUCAUGUUGGUGAUCUCUUUGUACAUGGUUGCCCUCUCUGGGGAUGGGUAGAACAUAUGACUAAUUAAACAUUACAGGGGCAUCCAUUAAUAUUAAACGAGUAAGGCUUUGUGCUGCUGAACUCCAGCUCAUCCUUUAACAUGUAGCACAAUGAAGACAUCUUCUGACAGGCUUUCCAAAAAAAAUAGCUGCACUUGUUUUAGUGCAUUCAAAGUGCAUUUAGUGCAUUUGUACCUGCUUUUGAUACAACUGAAUGGCAAUUACACAUUUGCUUGGCUGCCUCUAUUUUUAAUACGUAUUUAUUGAGAUUUAAUUUAUAUACCAUAUAAAAUCCACCCAUUUUAAGUGUAGCAUUUAUUAAAUGUACAGAAUUGCACAACCAUUACUACAGUCUAGUUUUAGAACAUUUCCAUCACCCCCAAAAGUACCCUCAUGUGCCCAUUUGCACUUAAACCCUAAUAUUAUCCCUAGCCAUAGGAAACCACUGAUGUGCUUUCUUUCUCUAUAUAGAUUUGCCUUUUUUGAACGUUUCAUGUAAGUGAAAUAAUAUAUGGUCCUUUUGUGUCUGGAUUCUUUUACUUAGCAUGAUUUUGAGGUUCGUCACUUUUUUUUUUUUUUUUUGAGACGAAGUCUCACUCUGCUGCCACAGGCUGGAGUGCUAUGACACGAUCUUGGCUCACUGCAACUGCCACCUCCCUGGUUCAAGCAAUUCUUCCACCUCAGCCUCCCGAGUAGCUGGGACUACAGGCGAGCGCUACCACACUCAGCUAAUAUAUAUAUAUAUUUUUGAGAUGAAGUUUCGCUCUUUUUGUCCAGGCUGGUGUGCAAUGACGCUAUCUCGGCUCACCACAACCUCUGCCUCCCGGGUUCAAGCAAUUCUCCUGCUUCAGCCUCCCAAGUAGCUGGGAUUACAGGCAUGCGCCACCCGGCUAAU
rnacentral:lncRNA from 10 species